AACGCACCUUGCACCCUUUGGUAUUCCGAAGGGUACACCCGUUUGAGUGUCAUUGUAAUCUCACUACAAUCACUUUAUUGUCGUUUGUAUGUGGACCUGGAUGUUGCCGUGUAACAAACGGCUCGUCUGAAAUGCCUGAGUGUACCCUGCUUUGCGGCGUAUUCGGUGUGAUAAAUCUUCACCGGAGUUGACUUUCGGGUCGCGUCUGCUUAACAUGGCUCUAUGCUUCCAACCGUCCUAACAAGACAACCUUUGACAAUUUGACCUCAAAUCGGGUGGGACUACCCGCUGAACUUAA
rnacentral:misc_RNA from 2 species